UACGUAGGGUGCAAGCGUUAAUCGGAAUUACUGGGCGUAAAGCGUGCGCAGGCGGUUUGGAAAGAAAGAUGUGAAAUCCCAGAGCUUAACUUUGGAACUGCAUUUUUAACUGCCAAGCUAGAGUAUGUCAGAGGGGGGUAGAAUUCCACGUGUAGCAGUGAAAUGCGUAGAUAUGCGGAGGAACACCGAUGGCGAAGGCAAUCCCCUGGGCCUGCACUGACGCUCAUGCACGAAAGCGUGGGGAGCAAACAGG
rnacentral:rRNA from 1 species